rnacentral:lncRNA from 1 species
CCCCAAGUUUCCUUCUCCACUGAAAUGCCACACCAAUGCUUGUGGGAUUUAUGAGGUGGCCAGACCAAUGCGUUGUUUUUUCUUUUUCUUUUUCUUUUUUUUUUUUAAGCUUCCCUUGAGAGAAUAAAUGGUAAUGGAGAGAACUAUUUAACAAGGUCCUGGUUUCUCUUGCAACACAGUAGCUAAACUUGCCUGCUUUUAUGUGCGUUUUUGUAGGGAUCAGCUUGGUAGACAGUAUUAGCA